AGGCGAAAGAAGGUCGUGUAUCCCGGGAAUCAGAAGGAAAUCCAAAGACUGAUGGCAAACCGGAAGUGACGUCAUAGGAACUGGAGUUGGGGCAGAGGCAGAAGCCACACUGGGCAGGCUCUCCAUUCUCUCUGCCUGCCCUCUCUUCUCCCGUGAGGUAAGAGAAGAGAGAUUCUUGGAUUAAGACUGGAGGACAAACCACCUCUAGUUACAUAAUGGCCUUUCCACCUGUCACUGAAAAUGGUGGUCACCAACCCCACCCACCCCCAGCCUGCCUCCACUACAGAAGCCUCUACGUGGUGACUGCCGUACCCCCUUUUCCUUAAAUGAUGUCACUAAUUUAUUAGA